UACAGGGGGUGCAAGCGUUGCUCGGAAUCAUUGGGCGUAAAGCGCACGUAGGCGGUCUGUUAUGUCGGAUGUGAAAGCCCUUGGCUUAACUGAGGAAGUGCAUCCGAAACUCGCAGGCUAGAGUACUAAAGAGGGUCGCGGAAUUCCCGGUGUAGAGGUGAAAUUCGUAGAUAUCGGGAGGAACACCGGUGGCGAAGGCGGCGACCUGGGUAGAUACUGACGCUGAGGUGCGAAAGCGUGGGGAGCAAACAGG
rnacentral:rRNA from 1 species